rnacentral:lncRNA from 1 species
GUCAACCCGGUUCUUGAUGCGCUACCUAAUUUAAGCUUUGUGGUUCAAGGAUACGAAGCGGUACGCAAAGAUAGGAAUGAAGGAAAUGGAGGGGGAGUAAUAACAUUCAUUAAAUUAGGAGUAGCAUAUAGGGAGGUUAAAGUGAAUGAGGAAUACGAGGCAGUAGUGAUUGACGUAAGAACUGGUAAUCAGAAUAUAAGAUUUAUUAAUUUUUAUAAUCCGUGUAAAAGAUUAAAUAAAGAUCUGCUGAAAAAUAUUGGAGGAGAGGGUAAUUUUAACAUGGUGUGGUGUGGUGAUUUUAAUGCUCAGAGUACUUUGUGGGGAAGUGCAAAUAAUGACCAAAAUGGGAAUGUGAUAGAAGAAAUAUUAGACUGUAGUGACCUAGUGUGCCUAAAUAACGGGAGUAUAACAAGAUUAGAUGUAGUUAGAGGAAGUAAUUCAGUGUUAGAUUUAACUAUUGUAUCUAAUAAUUUAGCCAGGCAAUGUGAAUGGGAAGUUUUGGAUCAUAGUAAUAUGGGAAGUGAUCAUUAUCCUAUAAAAUGUAGUAUAGGGAUAGAAACUGAAGUAUGCCAAGAGGAGAAAAUUCCCAGAUGGAGGUUUAAAGCUGCAGAUUGGGAUAAGUUCAAAGAUGUAUGUGAAGGUAAAAUGAUAAGUACACAAUUUAGUUUUGAAGAUGUAGAGGAUGUGAAUAAUAAAAUAAAUAUGAUUCUGUGUAGUUCAGCACAAGAGAUAAUAGGGAAAAGUAAAGGGGCAAGAAUGAAAAAGGCUGUACCAUGGUGGACAGAAAAAUGUAGUGAAGUAAUUAAAACCAGAAACAGAGCUUUAAGAAAAGUAAAAAAAUCUCAUUCUUUUGAUGAUUUUAUAAAUUACAAGAGAACUCAAGCAGUGGUAAGAAAAGUAAUAAGGACAACUAAAAUAAAUUACUGGAGACAAUUCUGUGAUGAAAUUGGUGUAAAUGUAGAUAUAAGUGAUAUGUGGAAUAUGGUUAGGAAGAUGGGUGGGAAACAGAUGUAUAAAAGUAUUCCAGUUUUAAUAAAAGAGGGUAG